rnacentral:rRNA from 1 species
GCGGCCUAUCAGCUUGUUGGUGAGGUAAUGGCUCACCAAGGCGACGACGGGUAGCCGGCCUGAGAGGGUGACCGGCCACACUGGGACUGAGACACGGCCCAGACUCCUACGGGAGGCAGCAGUGGGGAAUAUUGCACAAUGGGCGCAAGCCUGAUGCAGCAACGCCGCGUGGGGGACGAAGGCCUUCGGGUUGUAAACCCCUUUUAGCAGGGAAGAAGCGUAAGUGACGGUACCUGCAGAAAAAGCACCGGCUAACUACGUGCCAGCAGCCGCGGUAAUACGUAGGGUGCAAGCGUUGUCCGGAAUUAUUGGGCGUAAAGAGCUCGUAGGCGGUGUGUCGCGUCUGCUGUGAAAAUCCAAGGCUCAACCUUGGACCUGCAGUGGGUACGGGCACACUAGAGUGCGGUAGGGGAGAUUGGAAUUCCUGGUGUAGCGGUGGAAUGCGCAGAUAUCAGGAGGAACACCAAUGGCGAAGGCAGAUCUCUGGGCCGUAACUGACGCUGAGGAGCGAAAGCGUGGGGAGCGAACAGGAUUAGAUACCCUGGUAGUCCACGCCGUAAACGGUGGGAACUAGAUGUGGGGUCCGUUCCACGGAUUCCGUGUCGCAGCUAACGCAUUAAGUUCCCCGCCUGGGGAGUACGG